AUUAGCGGAAGUUUUCGGAUGGAAGCGGAUAUGACUUAGCGGCGGACGGGUGAGUAACGCGUGGAUAACCUGCCUCAUACAGGGGGAUAACAGUUAGAAAUGACUGCUAAUACCGCAUAAGCGCACAGGACCGCAUGGUCCGGUGUGAAAAACUCCGGUGGUAUGGGGUGGAUCCGCGUCUGAUUAGCUGGUUGGUGAGGUAACGGCCCACCAAGGCGACGAUCAGUAGCCGACCUGAGAGGGUGGCCGGCCACAUUGGGACUGAGACACGGCCCAAACUCCUACGGGAGGCAGCAGUGGGGAAUAUUGCACAAUGGGGGAAACCCUGAUGCAGCAACGCCGCGUGAGUGAAGAAGUAUUUCGGUAUGUAAAGCUCUAUCAGCAGGGAAGAAGAAAGACGGUACCUGACUAAGAAGCCCCGGCUAACUACGUGCCAGCAGCCGCGGUAAUACGUAGGGGGCAAGCGUUAUCCGGAUUUACUGGGUGUAAAGGGAGCGUAGACGGCUGUGCAAGUCUGAAGUGAAAGCCCGUGGCUCAACCGCGGAACUGCUUUGGAAACUGUAUAGCUUGAGUACUGGAGAGGCAGGCGGAAUUCCUAGUGUAGCGGUGAAAUGCGUAGAUAUUAGGAGGAACACCAGUGGCGAAGGCGGCCUGCUGGACAGAAACUGACGUUGAGGCUCGAAAGCGUGGGGAGCAAACAGGAUUAGAUACCCUGGUAGUCCACGCGGUAAACGAUGAAUGCUAGGUGUUGGGGAGCAAAGCUCUUCGGUGCCGUCGCA
rnacentral:rRNA from 1 species